AGCUUAGUGGCAGACGGGUGAGUAACGCGUGAGUAACCUGCCCUUAAGAGGGGGAUAACACACCGAAAGGUGUGCUAAUACCGCAUAAAGUAUUUGGUUCGCAUGGACCUGAAUACCAAAGAUUUAUCGCUUUUGGAUGGACUCGCGUCUGAUUAGAUAGUUGGUGAGGUAACGGCUCACCAAGUCGACGAUCAGUAGCCGGACUGAGAGGUUGAUCGGCCACAUUGGGACUGAGACACGGCCCAGACUCCUACGGGAGGCAGCAGUGGGGGAUAUUGCGCAAUGGGGGAAACCCUGACGCAGCAACGCCGCGUGAAGGAAGAAGGUCUUCGGAUCGUAAACUUCUGUCUUCAGGGACGAAUAAUGACGGUACCUGAGGAGGAAGCCACGGCUAACUACGUGCCAGCAGCCGCGGUAAUACGUAGGUGGCAAGCGUUGUCCGGAAUUACUGGGUGUAAAGGGAGCGCAGGCGGACCGGCAAGUUGGAAGUGAAAACUAUGGGCUCAACCCAUAAAUUGCUUUCAAAACUGCUGGCCUUGAGUAGUGCAGAGGUAGGUGGAAUUCCCGGUGUAGCGGUGGAAUGCGUAGAUAUCGGGAGAAACACCAGUGGCGAAGGCGACCUACUGGGCACCAACUGACGCUGAGGCUCGAAAGCAUGGGUAGCAAAACAAGGGUGGGUGCCGGGGAGGACCAUGCCGGAAGAGGGAAGUUAAUAGGGGUUUGGGGGGAUAGACCCCUUCAGGGACGCCAGUAAACCCGAUAAGGAAUUCCCCCGGGGGGAGGUAGACCGCCAAGGGUUGAAACUUCAAAGGAAAUAGACGGGGGGCCCGCACAAAGCAGUGGAGUAUUGGUUUUAUUUGAAGGCAACGCGAAGACCCUUACCAGGUCUUGACAUCCGAUGCAUAGUGCAGAGAUGCAUGAAGUCCUUCGGGACAUCGAGACAGGUGGUGCAUGGGUUGUCGUCAGCUCGUGUCGUGAGAUGUUGGGUUAAGUCCCGCAACGAGCGCAACCCUUAUUGCCAGUUACUACGCAAGAGGACUCUGGCGAGACUGCCGUUGGACAAAACGGAGGAAGGUGGGGAUGACGUCAAAUCAUCAUGCCCUUUAUGACCUGGGCUACACACGUACUACAAUGGCGUUUAACAAAGAGAAGCAAGACCGCGAGGUGGAGCAAAACUCAAAAACAACGUCUCAGUUCAGAUUGCAGGCUGCAACUCGCCUGGAUGAAGUCGGAAUAGCUAGUAAUCGCGGAUCAGCAUGCCGCGGUGAAUACGUUCCCGGGCC
rnacentral:rRNA from 1 species